CGCCGAUGGCGGGGGGAUAACUACUGGAAACGGUAGCUAAUACCGCAUAAUGUCUGCGGACCAAAGCGGGGGACCUCCGGGCCUCGCGCCAUCAGAUGAACCCAUAUGGGAUUAGCUUGUAGGUAAGGUAACGGCUUACCUAGGCGACGAUCCCUAGCUGGUCUGAGAGGAUGAUCAGCCACACUGGGACUGAGACACGGCCCAG
rnacentral:rRNA from 1 species